GAGGCUGAGGAGUACGUACCAAGGGACAGUUUGUGAGACUCUGUACAACCUGUAGAGCCAGAGGUGGGGGCCAGGAAGCCCUGUUCUAGUCUCUCUGCACAACCUUGAGCCAUCUCAUCAUCUGCACAUCUGCCUGAACCUCAGUCUCCCACUCUGGACGUUGUCGGGGUGAUGGAGCAAGCAUUCAGUUAUUCUCUGCUGGAUUCUGAUGUGGUCUAAAGUCCACACUUUGUUGUGAAACACCGCAAUCUGUGAUGUACAGAACCUAUUACUGCGGCCACCCAGGAAUGCUGGGGGCAGGCCUUUUGAGAAGGUGAAUCAGCGUGUGUUAGCUCAGGGCAGAGGGCCUGGCGGUGAGACGUGAGAACAGCCAAUGUCAUGGCGGUGGGGGAGUGGACGUGAGCCAUCUGGGGCCCAGCAAACAGCAUGUUGAAAAAAACGAGGAACUCAAAGGCAGAUGAGCCUACCACGCUGGGAACAGUUGGGAGUACAUUGCUCAAGCCCCGGCCAGUUUUAUGUCACUGCUGGUGUGAAGCAGUGAACAGUGACCCAGCAUGCAUCCAGGUGGCGGGACAGAGUCAGACUCUCCAGGGCAGAGAGACUCUAAAACUGACGGCCAGGUCUUGCUCAGACUACGGGCCUGAGGGAAGAUCCAAGACUGAAACAGGGCUUGGAAUGGAGGGGGUGGAGUUGAGGAGAUCACAGAGGACCUAGGAGUGUGUGUAUCGGAGAGAGAUAGGAAACCACUGACCGUUCAGCACACAUUCAGAAUUACUGCCUGUCCCAGGGAGGGACCCACAGCUCCGGCGCUCCGUUCAGCAUCUGGAAGAGCAUAGCUCGCUGUGAGCGGCCGCCCCAGAAGACUGUAUCCCACCCAGCCAGCUCUCCUGCCUGCUUGCCUCUGCCCCACACCAGGACACUUCAUACUGUCAGAACCACUGGGUGUGUGAGCUUGUGAGAGGGUGUGUGGGCACACAUGUCCCUGUGUGGGGUGUGGAGGUCAGAGGGCAACUUGGAGGAAUUGGUUCUCUCCUUCCACCACUGGGGCCCAGGAAUCAAGCCGAGGUUCCCAGACGUGGUAGCAGCCUCCCUUACCUGUUAAACCAGUGCUUCCCAGACUUCCUAAUGCUGUGACCUCAUGCUGUGCUGACCCCCGCCCAUGACAUUAUCUCUGUUGGUAUUUUAUAACUGUAAUUUUGCUACUAUUAUGAAUCACAAUGUAAAUGUCUGUUUUCU
rnacentral:lncRNA from 1 species